ACAGCCACACACCUGCCUUUGCCUCCUCAAUGCUGGUCUCUUUCACAACGAUUAUUUUUUCAUAGUUUUUGCUGCUGGAAUCCAACACACCACCUUGAGCAUGCUAGGGUGGACUUCCUUGAGCUGUUGGUCACAAGAAUACAGGCAACUGCCACUGAUGUUGGUUGCCCACCGGAGCUGGAAGGUGGCUGAUGAUUUCAUACGCCUUGUUCGCCAGACAUACAGAAACUCAAGUGG
rnacentral:lncRNA from 1 species